rnacentral:rRNA from 1 species
GACGAACGCUGGCGGCGUGCUUAACACAUGCAAGUCGAACGGAAAGGCCCUGCUUUUGUGGGGUGCUCGAGUGGCGAACGGGUGAGUAACACGUGAGUAACCUGCCCUUGACUUUGGGAUAACUUCAGGAAACUGGGGCUAAUACCGGAUAGGAGCUCCUGCUGCAUGGUGGGGGUUGGAAAGUUUCGGCGGUUGGGGAUGGACUCGCGGCUUAUCAGCUUGUUGGUGGGGUAGUGGCUUACCAAGGCUUUGACGGGUAGCCGGCCUGAGAGGGUGACCGGCCACAUUGGGACUGAGAUGCGGCCCAGACUCCUACGGGAGGCAGCAGUGGGGAAUAUUGCACAAUGGGCGGAAGCCUGAUGCAGCAAUGCCGCGUGCGGGAUGACGGCCUUCGGGUUGUAAACCGCUUUCGCCUGUGACGAAGCGUGAGUGACGGUAAUGGGUAAAGAAGCACCGGCUAACUACGUG